CUUUGAUCUUGGGGCUGAAGGAAGAACAACACUCGGUGUUUAAAUGCUCAAUCAACAAUCACUUUAAUCAAUACACUCUUAUUAUUCCACACAAAUACCAUGAGCAAUACAAUCAUCUGGAUGGGAGAUGUGCACAAAGAGGGUCACAGCAGAUCUCAAAAUGUUGGACCGUUACUCAAACUCUUAUAGCCUCUGGUGGCUCCCACCUCGUCAGCAAACAAAAUGUGAAAAUGAGUAAUGCAAAACUAUGACCUUUCCUGGAUAUUCAAAUUCCAAGUUCCUCUGUGUUCUCCAUGUGAGGUGGCUGUAGAGCAGGUCCUCUACCAAAUGAAAGGUUGGUGAGUUGAUCCUUGGCUCCUUAAAUCCACCAAAUAUCCUUAAAAAUACGAACCCUGAUGCAUCCAUCAGAGUGAGAAUGUUAGAUAGAAAGAUAGAAACACAGAGGCCAUUAUAGUAGUGCUGUGGAUUGUAAAGAACAAUUAGACAAUCACUUUAACACUGGUAUCCAAAGUGAAAUCAAAUAAUCAAUCGGAUAUUAUGCAAAUAUAUAAAUAAUAUAUAAAUACCUGCUUUGAAUGGCAGAAAGAUGUGAGAAAGUGAGAAAGACAGAGACAGGUGGGUGAGCUCCAUUCACUCUCAUCAGCAGAGAGAGAGAGAGAGCUGCACACUGUGCUGUAAACUCUUUAAAAUACCUCAGUAAAAGCCUCCUCUGUGCCUACAAGGAGAAACUGAAACCGGAGCAGUUUCCAGCUCUGACUGUCUGUUUGUUCCACUUUCAGCAGAAAACCUUAUUUGCUGCAAAAAGUGACUUCAUCCUCACUUUACUGAGCUGCCAUAAAGAAUAGAUUUAUACUGCUAAAAUAAAUGUUAGAAAAAUUUUCGAUUUUCAGGGCAAAAUUUUUUUCCCUUUUUUAUUCAGGUUCACUAUGACCAAAAC